UACGGAGGGUGCAAGCGUUGUCCGGAUUUAUUGGGCUUAAAGGGUGCGUAGGCGGCUAAUUAAGUCAGCGGUGAAAUUCCACAGCUUAACUGUGGAACUGCCAUUGAUACUGGUUGGCUUGAGUACAGAUGAGGUAGGCGGAAUUGACAGUGUAGCGGUGAAAUGCUUAGAUAUUGUCAAGAACACCUAUUGCGAAGGCAGUUUACUAAGCUGUAACUGACGCUGAGGCACGAAAGCGUGGGGAUCAAACAGG
rnacentral:rRNA from 1 species